rnacentral:lncRNA from 1 species
UUUCGAUCCGAUUGUUUGGGGAGGAGGCGGCGCUGAAGAAGGAAAACGGACCGGGCUUGAGAAUUAAACAUGGCCUUUGGGAAGAGGUCGAAAUCGAGAGGUCACCGAAUUCCAGACGAGGGGACGCUGCCCAAGUGAAUUGCGUAUAAGUAAUUUGGAUGGCUGUGGUGAAUAGAAAAAGGUGAGAUCGUCUAGGGUCGGCCAUCGGCGUCUAUCAGAAGACCGCAGAUCUGCCAUAGCCCCCUUCAAUUUCUAUCCGACAGUUUGUGUAGCAGACUAGCAGGCAAGGUGACGAUGGCAAUAAGCUAUUGUGGUUGGACAGGGUGACCGGAAGGGUUUGCACGUCGAUUUCUGCAAAAGCCAUGGCUAUAACAGGGAUUGAGGAUUGGCGAUACUGGAACUGGAUUGCUGCU